CCUACGGGUGACAGCAGUGAGGAAUAUUGGUCAAUGGUCGGGAGACUGAACCAGCCAAGCCGCGUGAGGGAGGAAGGUACAGAGUAUCGUACACCUCUUUUGUCAGGGAACAAAGGCGGGGACGUGUCCCCGGAUGAGUGUACCUGAAGAAAAAGCAUCGGCUAACUCCGUGCCAGCAGCCGCGGUAAUACGGAGGAUGCGAGCGUUAUCCGGAUUUAUUGGGUUUAAAGGGUGCGCAGGCGGUCUGUUAAGUCAGCGGUCAAAGCCCGGGGCUCAACCCCGGCGAGCCGUUGAAACUGGCGGGCUGGAGUUGGAGAGAAGUACGCGGAAUGCGCGGUGGAGCGGUGAAAUGCUUAGAUAUCGCGCAGAACCCCGAUUGCGAAGGCAGCGUACCGGCUCCACACUGACGCUGAGGCACGAAAGCGUGGGUAUCGAACAGGAUUAGAUACCCGAGUAGUC
rnacentral:rRNA from 1 species